rnacentral:rRNA from 1 species
GUCUGUUUGUAGGUAUAAAAAGUCUAACCUGCCCACUGAUAAAAUAAUUUUAAUGGCCGCGGUAUUCUGACUGUGCAAAGGUAGCAUAAUAGUUAGUUUCUUAAUUGGAAUCUUGUAUGAAUGGUUUGACAAGAAAAAAGCUGUCUCAGAGUUAAUUAUUGAAUUUAACUUUUAAGUGAAAAGGCUUAAAUAAAUUAAAAAGACGAUAAGACCCUAUAAAGCUUAAUAUUAUUUUAUUAUUUAAUAAAAUUUUAAAUAUAAAUAUUUAGUAAUAAUUUGUAUUUUAUUGGGGUGAUAAUGAUAAAAUGAUUAUUAACUGUUAAUUGUUAAAACAAAAAUAAAUGAAUAUAAAGUUUUUGAUAAAGGAUCCUGUAUUAGAGAUUAAAAGUUUAAGUUACUUUAGGGAUAACAGCGUUAUUUUUUUUGAGAGUUCUUAUCGAAAAAAGAGUUUGCGACCUCGAUGUUGAAUUAAAAUAUCUAUAUAAUUGUAGUAGUUAUAUAAGAAGGUCUGUUCGACCUU